UACAGAGGAUGCAAGCGUUAUCCGGAAUGAUUGGGCGUAAAGCGUCUGUAGGUGGCUUUUUAAGUCCGCCGUCAAAUCCCAGGGCUCAACUCUGGACAGGCGGUGGAAACUACCAAGCUGGAGUACGGUAGGGGCAGAGGGAAUUUCCGGUGGAGCGGUGAAAUGCGUAGAUAUCAGGAGGAACACCGGUGGCGAAGGCGGAUCUCUGGGCCGAUACUGACGCUGAGGAGCGAAAGCGUGGGGAGCGAACAGG
rnacentral:rRNA from 1 species